UUCUGCAGAGGGACUUACACUUCUUGUCGUCCGUUCCUGUUGCACAGCUCAUGACUCUCAAUUUUAGCAAUGGUCUUAUGAGUGUCUUGGUGCAGAAGGUAGCAUUGUAAUACAUGUGCUUUCUCCCUUUGACUGCCUGCUAUAUCGUAGGUGCCCAAUCAUGCUGCUUAAAUAGAAGAAUCGUUGAAUGACUUUUGGUCCCAGAUGCACCCAUCCUCAGGCCUACGUUGGGAAAGCAAGACCUGGAAAGAGCUUAAAGAUGAAUGUCCUGUAAUGAAUCCAAAGAAUGGAAAGAAUUUUCAGGGGCUGGAUCAGUGGAAUAAAUGAAAGAGCCCAUAUUUGUAUGAGCCACCCAGAGACUGGUGUAAGCAUCAGGGGAGCUACUCAUUGCAUAAAAGUGCUUUGAAAGCUGGACCUCAGUAAGGCCCUCCGUUGGGGGCCUGAACUAGGCCUCCCUCCAGAUGACACUUUCCUUCUUGGAAGAGUCCUGGGGCAGAAAAGGAAGCUUUCAAAUCUGUUUCUUACCACCACUUAUCAAAAUUGCAAGAGGAGGGCGUUGUAUGCCUACUCUUGGUUGAACAUGAGAUGAUUUUAGACAUCAAAAAUAAAUCUUUUUUGAGCUUGAA